CAGCCGCCGCGGGAAUACGUAGGGUGCAAGCGUUAAUCGGAAUUACUGGGCGUAAAGCGUGCGCAGGCGGUUCGCUAAGACAGAUGUGAAAUCCCCGGGCUUAACCUGGGAACUGCAUUUGUGACUGGCGGGCUAGAGUAUGGCAGAGGGGGGUAGAAUUCCACGUGUAGCAGUGAAAUGCGUAGAGAUGUGGAGGAAUACCGAUGGCGAAGGCAGCCCCCUGGGCCAAUACUGACGCUCAUGCACGAAAGCGUGGGGAGCAAACAGGAUUAGAUACCCGCGUAGUCCCUGUCUCUUAUAC
rnacentral:rRNA from 1 species